rnacentral:rRNA from 1 species
GAUGAACGCUGGCGGCGUGCCUAAUACAUGCAAGUCGAGCGAACAGACGAGGAGCUUGCUCCUCUGACGUUAGCGGCGGACGGGUGAGUAACACGUGGAUAACCUACCUAUAAGACUGGGAUAACUUCGGGAAACCGGAGCUAAUACCGGAUAAUAUAUUGAACCGCAUGGUUCAAUAGUGAAAGACGGUUUUGCUGUCACUUAUAGAUGGAUCCGCGCCGCAUUAGCUAGUUGGUAAGGUAACGGCUUACCAAGGCAACGAUGCGUAGCCGACCUGAGAGGGUGAUCGGCCACACUGGAACUGAGACACGGUCCAGACUCCUACGGGAGGCAGCAGUAGGGAAUCUUCCGCAAUGGGCGAAAGCCUGACGGAGCAACGCCGCGUGAGUGAUGAAGGUCUUCGGAUCGUAAAACUCUGUUAUUAGGGAAGAACAAAUGUGUAUGUAACUAUGCACGUCUUGACGGUACCUAAUCAGAAAGCCACGGCUAACUACGUG